rnacentral:rRNA from 1 species
UACGAAGGGUGCAAGCGUUACUCGGAAUUACUGGGCGUAAAGGGUGCGUAGGUGGUUGUUUAAGUCUGUUGUGAAAGCCCCGGGCUCAACCUGGGAAUGGCAAUGGAUACUGGACAGCUAGAGUGCGGUAGAGGGUAGUGGAAUUCCCAGUGUAGAGGUGAAAUUCGUAGAUAUUGGGAAGAACACCGGUGGCGAAGGCGGCUCUCUGGACCGAGACUGACGCUGAGGCGCGAAAGCGUGGGGAGCAAACAGG